rnacentral:lncRNA from 1 species
UUCCCUUUAAUUGUUUUUUAUUAUAAAAUUGACCCCAUGCUUAAACAGAGAUUUCAUAAUCUUCCAUAUAUGUUAAAAUUGUUAUCUUUUAAAAUAAUUAUCUAGGAGGAAUUUGUGAUUAGAUGAUAUGUAAAUUACAUAGCCAUCAAAAAAAAAAAAAACCAUUUAUUAUGAACUAAAUCUAAUUGUGUGGGUUGAAUAUAUGAGUAGAUUUUGGCACCCUUGCCAAUUGGGUUCGCUGUGUUCUUGGUUCACUUGGCAACCAUCCCCAUCACCGGAACUGGUAUCAACCCUGCUCGUAGUCUUGGUGCUGCUAUCAUCUUCAACAAGGACCUUGGUUGGGAUGAACACGUAAGUUGUUAAUUAAUUCAUUUAUUUCAUAAUUGGUAAAAAAAAAAAUCAUUGAACCAAUUUUAGAUUUUUCGGGAAAACGAAUCUGGAGCGUUUGAUCUCUGACGCUUAUUGUUUGUCGUUUUCCGUGCAGUGGAUCUUCUGGGUGGGACCAUUCAUCGGUGCAGCUCUUGCAGCACUCUACCACCAGGUCGUAAUCAGGGCCAUUCCCUUCAAGUCCAAGUGAUUCAAUCAAACGGUUCAUGCUUAAUCAAGUUGGGAACAACAACAACAACAAAAAUCAAGCCAAUGUUUGUGGGUUU